rnacentral:rRNA from 1 species
UACGUAGGGUGCAAGCGUUGUCCGGAAUUAUUGGGCGUAAAGAGCUCGUAGGCGGUUUGUCGCGUCUGCUGUGAAAACUCGAGGCUCAACCUCGAGCUGUCGGCGGAAACCAUCUGGCUAGAGUCCGGAAGAGGAGAGUGGAAUUCCUGGUGUAGCGGUGAAAUGCGCAGAUAUCAGGAAGAACACCUAUGGCGAAGGCAGCUCUCUGGGACGGUACUGACGCUGAGGCGCGAAAGCGUGGGGAGCGAACAGG